UCUACAUGAGUGAGUAAGAGACACCUCUCCUAUCAGAAAAAGAUAAUAAAUAGUGUGUACUUAAGUAUAAGGAAGAUCGGAUUAAAGAUUUUUCCGAUGUUGUAAUAUGUUCAAGAAAUAAAAAGUUUGUUUCAUAUAUCCUUUGCAAAUAUUUUAUGCUGGUAAAAAAUGAAGGUUGCGAUCUUCAGCCUUAACGGAGGAAGGACGGAGCAGUAGCCUGAGACAGCGAGUCACAAUAGGUUAAAAAGUUCUUCAUAGCCGGAAGGAGAAGCACUAUGGUAUGGAUACAGCUAACAUCAAAGAAGGUCGAAAGGUAUAUGCAUAAACUCUACCAUUUUAUGAACAUAUUAGCAUAAGAUAAGUUUGUUUUCAUAUCUGCUCUAUACCUUUAUACAUAUUAUAUAUUAUUAAAUACCAAUAGGGAAUAUAAAAUUAUGUAAGAAGGUAUAGAGCAGAUAUGAAAAAAGACUUUUCUUAAGUUAAUAUGUUCAUGAAAUAGUAGAGUUUAUGCAUAUACCUUUCGACCUUCUUUUAUGUUAGCUGUAUCAACACCAUAGUGCUUCAUAUUAGAAUGAUAUAUAUCAAGUUCCUAGACCUGGAGUGUAAAAGAGAAGCAGGAGAAUUUCUAGACUUAUGGGCAAAAAAUUUAUAACUAUACUAGGGAAAGGGAAUAAUUAUACUAGUAAUGAAAAAUAUUUAAUUACUACAAAUACCUUCACUAGAAAAGUAGACAAUUC
rnacentral:lncRNA from 1 species